rnacentral:rRNA from 1 species
UACCGAGCGAGAAAGCGUUAGUCGGAGUUACUGGGCGUAAAGGGCGCGUAGGCGGUGAGGUGGGUGUGAUGUGAAAGACCUGGGCUUAACCUAGGAAGUGCAUCGCAAACUACAUGACUAGAGGAUAUGAGAGGGUGGCGGAAUUGCAGGUGUAGCGGUGAAAUGCGUAGAGAUCGGAAGGAACGUCAAUGGCGAAGGCAGCCACCUGGCAUAAUACUGACGCUGAGGCGAGAAAGCGUGGGGAGCGAACCGG